GCUGGGUAUUGGUUCAGUAUUGACUUGUAGAUAGCACUCUUCUCUCACAUCACAUCCAGCAGCACUUACCCUGGGGUUUCCCUGGAGGUCUCUCAUACAAGAAAUAUAGCAAUACCUUACCAUACAUGAUGAAUUUAGUCAAAGUUAGUGAUGUUCCUCACUCACCCCCAUCAGGAGUCUGAUCUAUAUUCUUUCCCUCUUUGCUUAGAUAAUAGUUUCUGAAGGAGGAAUGUUCAUUGUGUCAAUGGGUUCUUGUUGCCUAGGAACAGUUUUCAAUUUGCCACUCUAGAAACUCAGAAGCUGGUUAAAUUUCACCCCUACGGAAAUGGUUUCCAUCACCUUCCUUCACUGGUUACCAAGAGUUUUAUGGAGGCUGAAUCUGCAGCUGAAAUUAGUGUCUCAUGCCCAGCAGUAUUUGACUGAUAGAACAGAUUCUCUCCUUCAGAUUGCACCACACCUGAGGAACUGUCCUGCUCCUAUUGCUGCAGCCUCAGAGCUACAGUGCACUUUGCUGUUUUGCACUCGUUGUCUGAGUGGGGUUUCGCUUUGGAAGAACUUCAAAGCCUCUCUACACAGUGACCCAGAC